GACGAACGCUGGCGGCGUGCUUAACACAUGCAAGUCGAACGGAAAGGCCCUGCUUUUGUGGGGUGCUCGAGUGGCGAACGGGCGAGUAACACGUGAGUAACCUGCCCUUGACUUUGGGAUAACUUCAGGAAACUGGGGCUAAUACCGGAUAGGAGCUCCUGCUGCAUGGUGGGGGUUGGAAAGUUUCGGCGGUUGGGGAUGGACUCGCGGCUUAUCAGCUUGUUGGUGGGGUAGUGGCUUACCAAGGCUUUGACGGGUAGCCGGCCUGAGAGGGUGACCGGCCACAUUGGGACUGAGAGACGGACCAGACUCCUACGGGAGGCAGCAGUGGGGAAUAUUGCACAAUGGGCGGAAGCCUGAUGCAGCAACGCCGCGUGCGGGAUGACGGCCUUCGGGUUGUAAACCGCUUUCGCCUGUGACGAAGCGUGAGUGACGGUAAUGGGUAAAGAAGCACCGGCUAACUACGUG
rnacentral:rRNA from 1 species